rnacentral:rRNA from 1 species
UACGUAGGGUGCAAGCGUUAAUCGGAAUUACUGGGCGUAAAGCGUGCGCAGGCGGUUUUGUAAGCCAGAUGUGAAAGCCCCCGGGCUCAACCUGGGAAUGGCAUUUGGGACUGCAAGGCUGGAGUUCGGCAGGGGAGACUGGAAUUCCUGGUGUAGCGGUGAAAUGCGCAGAUAUCAGGAGGAACACCGGUGGCGAAGGCGGGUCUCUGGGCCGAUACUGACGCUGAGGAGCGAAAAGCGUGGGGAGCAAACAGG